GAAAUGCGAUAAGUAGUGUGAAUUGCAGAAUUCAGUGAAUCAUCGAAUCUUUGAACGCACAUUGCGCCCCUCGGUAUUCCGUGGGGCAUGCCUGUUCGAGCGUCAUCUACACCCUCAAGCUCUGCUUGGUGUUGGGCGUCUGUCCCGCCUCCGCUCGCGGACUCGCCCCAAAUGCAUUGGCAGCGGUUCCUUGCCCCCCUCUUUGCGCAGCACAUUGCCAUUCGAGGCGGCGGCGGCCCGCGUCCAACAAGCUCAACCCCCCCGUCUUUGACCUCGGAUCAGGUAGGGAUACCCGCUGAACUUAAGC
rnacentral:misc_RNA from 1 species